rnacentral:rRNA from 1 species
GAUGAACGCUGGCGGCGUGCCUAAUACAUGCAAGUCGAGCGAACGGACGAGAAGCUUGCUUCUCUGAUGUUAGCGGCGGACGGGUGAGUAACAUGUGGAUCACCUCCCUAUAAGACUGGUAUAACUUCGGGAAACCGGAGCUAAUACCGGAUGAUAUUUUGAACCGUAUGGUUCAAAAGUGAAAGACGGUCUUGCUGUCACUUAUAGAUUGAUCCGCGCUUCAUUAGCUAGUUGGUAAGGUAACGGCUUACCAAGGCAACGAUGCAUAGACGACCUGAGAGAGUGAUCGGCCACACGGGAACUGGAACACGGACAAGAGUACUACGAGAGGCAGCAGUAGGGAAUGUUAGGCAAUGGGCGAAAGCCUGACAGAGCAACGCGGAGUGAGAGAUGAAGAUGUUGGGAGCGUAAAAAUCUGUUAUGAGGGAAGAACAUAUGUGUAAGUAAAUGUACACAGCUUGACGGUAACUAAUAAGAAAGCCACGGCUAACUACGUG